CCACAAUUAAAUUAAACCAUACACGCGCUUAAAAUGCCGGCAACGAAGAAAACAACAAAAGGCAUAACAAAUAGUUAAGAUGAAAGGGAGAACAAGAAUAACAUAAAUCAUAUUUAUGUAUAUGCUGGUAGAAUCCGGGUUCCAGGUGCGGCAACAAGACAUAUUUGAUAACUGAAGACCUUCGAUUUGUUAUCUGUUGUUAAGAUCGAUAAGAUAUAAGUAAUAGCUUCUGAAAUAUGUCGUAAGAGGCUACUUUUCUUUUGGAUACUUGUAGUGCUUGUUCUAAGAUAAGGGUGAAGCUAAAGAAAGUGACUAAUGUAUAUUUUACAAAGAAAAAUACGAUGGGCAAUCGUCAAAAAUCCCAAAUGCAUUCCUUAAAUGCUUGGCACGUUUUCGCGCCUACUCACUACGUCUGGGAGCUCCGGUCUACCAAAAAAAAACUUGCUAAACUGCCAUGUGCCAUAGAAACCAUUAUGAUGACUAAGCAUGAGGGCUCAAACAUUCAAACUCUCGACGUCAUUAGCACGAUUGUGUGAUAAAUUAUACGUUCCUUAAAAUGCAUAGGCACACACACAAGAAAAUUAAAAAAUUUGUUAUUAAGGAUAAACCAUGAACAUAUUCAAAGGGCUUUUAUAUUAAAGCGAUCUUCAGCACCAA